rnacentral:piRNA from 1 species
CAAUCUGCCUACGACAAACAGACC